UUAUUUGGUUCUAAAUUGUCUGGUGGUGAAUAAUUUGGUCUUUGAACAUCAUUACAGCGACCAUUCAGUGAACGGUGGAUUAUACUUGAAAAUGAAGUGAUCUGUGGAAGAUGAAGAUUUAUUUCAUUACUUUCUGCACUCAAUGAUUACAUUACAGUAGAGAUGAUAUUUAUAACUAACACACACGAACUAACUAAUUCACUAACAAACACUUCUAACUAAUUAACAAACUUUACAACUGUUACAGAUAUUAUAAUGAGGACUGCUAUCAAUACAGGACUGUGAUAGACAACAUAUCAAUGCUGAUUCUGAUGCAGUAGGGAGCUGCCGUGACUGAUGAGUAAACUAUUGAGAUGCAGUUGAGCUACUGCAGUGACUGAUGAGGCUUGGACUGAGUGAACUGAUGAAGCUUGGACUGAGGGAACUGUGGAAAUGCAGAGUCAGUUACAGAGGCAGUUACAGAUGGAAUCUUAUCAUGAUCAAACCUCGAAACAGUGAGCGUGACUUUUUGUACAAGAGCAGAAAUCCAUACUACAGAUACGACUUGGAGUCAUUCAGGGUGAGGAGGAAGGAUUUUUAUUUGCUGUCUACAGUUACUAAGCUUUUAAAGGAAUUUAUUCCAAGACUUUCACAUGCAGCAGAUGGUCUUAUAUUCCAGGUUCUUAAGGAUUAUUUUUUGGUAGCUUUAUUA